CAUUUUGUGCCACGUGGUUGGCAUGGAGGAGGGGAAAGAGGGAGGGAGCACAAUGGGGCCUGAGGCUUCCCGGGGUGUAACGCAGCUGUGUGCGUACAGGAGCAAGGGAAUACAUUCCUCAGAGACAGCAAGGAGUUGGGACACCGUGGGAAGCAGCAAACCGGAGCACCAAGCAGGGCCUGCUCACUUCAUCAUAUCCAGUCAGCCUUGGGAUGAAGGAUGACAGUGUCAUGAUGAGAACACUUGUGUCCUUACAAGAUGAAGCCUUCAACACUGAACCUUAAAACCAAGCCAUCCAGCUCCAGCCAGCUCCUCGUGGUUGCCUGCGGCUCCAGGGAGCUGCCACAUCAAGUAAUGAACCUCAAAGUGAACCAAAGUGGGAUUCCAUGCACAUCACACCAGCCCUCCUUUGGGAAAUGCAAACCUGUCCCAGGAGUUUCAGGCAUCCUGUGUUCAUCUUCUAUUGCCUCGCUGAAGAAGUAAAACUACCUGCUGCUGAGGUAAAAAUAAUACUAAAUACUGAAUAACAAUACUAAGGCUCAAGGUGGU